CCUACGGGGGGCAGCAGUGGGGAAUAUUGGACAAUGGGCGAAAGUCUGAUCCAGCCAUGCCGCGUGUGUGAAGAAGGCCUUCGGGUUGUAAAGCACUUUCAGUGGGGAAGAAAGCCUUGGGGCUAAUACCCUCGAGGAAGGACAUCACCCACAGAAGAAGCACCGGCUAACUCCGUGCCAGCAGCCGCGGUAAUACGGAGGGUGCGAGCGUUAAUCGGAAUUACUGGGCGUAAAGCGCGCGUAGGCGGUCUGAUAAGCCGGUUGUGAAAGCCCCGGGCUCAACCUGGGAACGGCAUCCGGAACUGUCAGGCUAGAGUGCAGGAGAGGAAGGUAGAAUUCCCGGUGUAGCGGUGAAAUGCGUAGAGAUCGGGAGGAAUACCAGUGGCGAAGGCGGCCUUCUGGACUGACACUGACGCUGAGGUGCGAAAGCGUGGGUAGCAAACAGGAUUAGAUACCCGAGUAGUC
rnacentral:rRNA from 1 species